rnacentral:lncRNA from 1 species
GUGAAGGAGGGUUUCCUUCGGCGCGGCGUUAUCCCCGGCGUCAUCGGAUGCGUAGACGGCAGCCUCAUAGCCAUCAUCGCACCCAAGGGUGAGCGCAAGGCUGUGUUCAUGUGCCGCAAGGGAUACUACGCCCUCAACUGCAUGUUCGUAAGUAAAACUCACGUUUUCUGCGAUCCUUUUUGAAAGUUACGUUGCUCUUGCCAACGGGCACUUUCUCUGGUUUACGUUUUACCUCAGAUCUGCGACGCGGACAUGAAAAUCUUGGCCUUGGACCCUAUGUGACCGGGGUCGGACCACGACGCUUUUGUCUGGCGGACGACAUGGUUGCGCCGGCGGUUCCAAGCGGGGCGCAUCGUGAAUGCCGGGGAAUACCUCCUCGGUGACAGUGGCUACCCCUUGGAGCCGUGGCUCCUGACCCCGGUUCCUGGCCAUCCUCCAGUGCACACAGCCGAGGGGCAGUACAACACAGCACAUGCCGCCAUGCGUUCCGUAGUGGAGAGGUGCAUUGGGCUCUUAAAGAGCCGUUUCCGCUGUCUUCAGCGAUAUCGCACCCUCCUCUACGAGCCGGAACGUGCAGCCAACAUUGUCGCGGCAUGUGCUGUGUUGCACAACCUUCGCCUUUCUGAAGGCGAC